rnacentral:rRNA from 1 species
UACGGAGGGAGCUAGCGUUGUUCGGAAUUACUGGGCGUAAAGCGCACGUAGGCGGCUUUGUAAGUUAGAGGUGAAAGCCCGGGGCUCAACUCCGGAACUGCCUUUAAGACUGCAUCGCUUGAAUCCAGGAGAGGUGAGUGGAAUUCCGAGUGUAGAGGUGAAAUUCGUAGAUAUUCGGAAGAACACCAGUGGCGAGGCGGCUCACUGGACUGGUAUUGACGCUGAGGUGCGAAAGCGUGGGGAGCAAACAGG